UGUUUUCUUUUAUGUAAAGCAGUUUUCCUAUAAGAAAGAGAGAUAGCAGUUUUCCUAUCAAAGUCUAUUGUUUGGACGAAAAAAUGUGUUUUUGAAAAUUUUGUUAAUCAUUUUAGCAGCAUCUAAUAACAUGGAUCGACAUGUCCUAUCGUACGAAUAACCCGUGGUCUAGACAGUAUUUUGGACUCGCUUUAAAACAGAAAUGAAGAAUUAUUUUCCUUUUUAUCCCAAAAAAAUAUUACACAAGUCUGCAAUCUGAACUUAUUUGUAUGUUGUUCAAUUUCAAAACACUAAAGAAAUGCAUGAUCAGUGAUAUAUAAAACCUGCAAAUAAACACAUAACGAUCCAUUUAACUUUUCUUUAACUCUAGCUCUGCAAAGGUAAAAAAGAAUUGGAUUUACAAGCAGAUGAUGUGUUGUGUUUCCUCUUCCUGAAGACACCGAAGCCUUUCUCCCACGAAUGGGAAAUACUUCUAAAGUUUGUUACUUACUCUCCGACAACAGAUUCAUCCCUCGGUGGCAGCUUUGUCGACUUUUAAGACCCUCUCCGUCGAAAUUGCUUCUGUGGCUUGGCUCUGGACUCAUGACUAUAAAUCCCCGAUCUGAUCUUUCAACAAUCAGAUCUGAAGUCUCCUCUCCCUGCCUUCAUUUCAUGUGAGUGGCCAUGGCAAAAAAGAAUUUCGGCCUCGCUCUCUACUCAUCGCUCAGACUCUCAACUGCAACUUCAAUCUAUAAAUGCCGAAACCCAAGAUUUAAGAGAGUUUUGAAUUUUUGAUAUGAAGAUUCAGAAAGUUAUUCAUGGAAAAAACAGAAACGUGAAUGGAUACCUAAGUGAAUAGAUAGCAAGACUUAUGAUCACCUCUCUCUUUUUUUUGAGGUUGACCUAUAAUAACCUAUGAUAUAUAUUUCAGGUGCUUACUAUUCUAAUUGUCUGAAAAUAUUAGUUUCUUUAGACCACCCUUUAGUAAC
rnacentral:lncRNA from 1 species